UUGCAUAUUCUUCUGGAAAUAGCUGAUCUAAGUUUACCAAAAAGUUUUGUAACAUUUUCUUCGAGUCCAACUGUGCGAUAUUUACAUUGAAGAAACUCGCCUGCCCAGAUGUCUGACAUGGAAGCCAUUUCACAGACGGGACGGCCGUUAGACCUCUAACCAAUGAGAGAGCGCCAGAAAGGACCGGGCGCCGAAAAAGUAGACAUGAGAUACAAACGCACACACGCGCCAAAAAUAAUCAACAGCGCAAAGCUAAAGAAACAACUCUAACUUUAUUCAAACCGUAGAGGUGAGCUCCCUGUGGAUAAAAUACGAGUAUUGCCGUUUUGAGUGACGUCAUCGAUGACGUCAUCAAGAAAAGCUGUAAACUGUCAUGCUAACCCGCACCACACUACACACCAAACUGCACCUACUAACCUCGCUCCAGAUUCAUCGUUUGUUGUGAAAGUUCACGUUUUCAUAAUUGACAGGGUCGGCAGCAACAAGAGCACAGAGAAAGCAAAAGAUGUCAAGCCUAAUCUCGCAGAGCGUACGCACGAAUGGAGUGUGGAUAAGUCGAAGAUUGAGGCCGCUAAAGAUGAUAUAAGACAUUGUAAAAAACGAUAAGGGCGUCGCGGUUCUGCCACCUCGCUCUCGCGCCUCGUCACGCUGACCGCGACGUCCUGGGCUCGCGAGGAUGCGCACCUGCCCUCAGCCAAUCCUGGGUAAGCGGCUGUAAGCGUUAACCACACUUUGACCGAAAUUGAAACCGAACUCAUCAGAGAGGUGUAAUCUAAUUAUAAAUCCCUCUGGACUUCAUUCUCGUCGUUAGGGUGUCCAUCUCUCACUGCCACCGGUGCUGGAACGACUUACCGGGGAAACUCAUUCGUCACUGAAAGCAGACAGAUCAUACAGGACGACGAACCCGAUCCGCGCAAUCAAGAGACACUAGCUAAACACCCAUGUAGGCGUGCCUUGUUGAAAGAGGUGGUAACGACACAUACCACAAUCACAGCGGAAGAAGGGCAGCCAAGAUGGGCAGGGGCUUGUAGGGAUACGAGGGAGGGGCUUGUAGGGAUACGAGGGAGAGGCAGAAGAGCAUCGCGACAAAUUUACUAUGCUCGCACCCAUUCAUGUAUUUGAUUGCGUACAGAUGUACAAAAAGUAUCAUUUAAUUCCACAGUUAUAUCAUAUUUUAUCAUCUUUAUUAUUAUCGUUAUACGGACACACAUGUAACGUCGAGAAAAUACAUGAAGUACCUACCUUGGUUACCAAUUUAGCGUAAAUAUCCCCAAUAACGGAAAAACUUAAAGCAAUAUCUUACUGAUACGCUUUAAAAACAAAUUAUAAAGUUAGAUAAGGAUAGAGAACACUUCUCGGGCUUAAUGGAAUGUUUGUAUAAGCGUACGCUUAUAACGCGAGUUUUCCUCUGACGAACAAAAUGACGGCCCCUAAAUAUCCUUCCGACUUUUUCCGCGGUGUUUUCGCCCGGCGCUAUGGAUGCGAUACGGUACUUUUUGCCUUUCGCCAUUUUAAACAUAUAUAGCAUAUUGAGAAUAUGAGGUUGUCGAAUGUUUAUUUGCAGCGUAGAGGCCAGAGACGAUAAUCCGUCCAAGGUUGCUGGUCCGUUAGUGAUACCUCCCAAGAACAAAGACGAAAAAAAGUGAAGAAAAAUGGAAAAAACUGAGCGAUAAUAAAAGGGAUGGUUACAACUUAUUCGUUGUUAUUAUCAAGAUAAACCAUC